rnacentral:rRNA from 1 species
GACGAACGCUGGCGGCGUGCUUAACACAUGCAAGUCGAACGGAAAGGCCCAGCUUGCUGGGUGCUCGAGUGGCGAACGGGUGAGUAACACGUGGGUGAUCUGCCCCUAACUUCGGGAUAAGCUUGGGAAACUGGGUCUAAUACCGGAUAGGACAAUCGUUUAGUGUCGGUUGUGGAAAGUUUUUUCGGUUAGGGAUGAGCCCGCGGCCUAUCAGCUUGUUGGUGGGGUAAUGGCCUACCAAGGCGUCGACGGGUAGCCGGCCUGGGAGGGUGGACGGCCACAUUGGGACUGAGAUACGGCCCAGACUCCUACGGGAGGCAGCAGUGGGGAAUAUUGCACAAUGGGCGCAAGCCUGAUGCAGCGACGCCGCGUGGGGGAUGACGGCCUUCGGGUUGUAAACCUCUUUCGACAGGGACGAAGCUUUGGUGACGGUACCUGUAUAAGAAGCACCGGCUAACUACGU